rnacentral:lncRNA from 1 species
UCUCGAUCUCCUGACCUCGUGAUCCGCCCGCCUUGGCCUCCCAAAGUGCUAGAAUUACAGGCAUGAACCACCACGCCCAGCCCAGUCUCAUCUCUUAAUGACGCCUCCUUCUGCCCAUCUUCACAUCACUAACAACAAUAUUGCUCAACCACCUCACUGGGUCUUGUUUCUGUUUUAAAAAACCUUUCAAACUGUAUUACCUUCAAGAAUAAGUUCAAGUGUGUUAACCUGGCCUUGAAGAUCCUUCACAAUUACAUCCUCCCUGACCAUAUCCUCCUCUCUUCCCUCAAACCUUCCCAAAUCUUUUCAGCAUAAACUUACCAUCAGUUCAGAUAGGUUAGUGCCACACACCUGCAAAUAAGUCCUCCCCCACUGUAAAUACUCUCCUUUAAGGUGGGCUGAAUUCCUACCUCCCGGAAAGUUAGUUACCUUGUCAUAACAUGUUGAAUUUUUAAUAUCCUGGAUUCCCUCAAUAGUCUUUACCACCUGUAUUGUUUUCAACCCUUAACCUUAAGCUUUGUCUCUACCUAAGUCAAAAACAUCUGGAGACUUAACACUAUACAGUACUAUGGAACAAAAUACAAAUGCCUCUUUAAGAAAUACCAAAUAAAGGCCAGACGUGGUGGCUCACGCCUGUAAUCUAGAGACCUAACACCAUACAGUACUAUGGAACAAAAUACAAAUGCCUUUUUAAGAAAUACCAAAUAAAGGCCAGGCAUGUUGGCUCACGCCUGUAAUCCCAGCACUUUGGGAGGCUGAGGCAGGAGAAUCGCUUGAACCCCG